UGGGGAAUCUUGCACAAUGGGCGCAAGCCUGAUGCAGCCAUGCCGCGUGUAUGAAGAAGGCCCUCGGGUUGUAAAGUACUUUCAGCGGGGAGGAAGGGAGUAAAGUUAAUACCUUUGCUCAUUGACGUUACCCGCAGAAGAAGCACCGGCUAACUCCGUGCCAGCAGCCGCGGUAAUACGGAGGGUGCAAGCGUUAAUCGGAAUUACUGGGCGUAAAGCGCACGCAGGCGGUUUGUUAAGUCAGAUGUGAAAUCCCCGGGCUCAACCUGGGAACUGCAUCUGAUACUGGCAAGCUUGAGUCUCGUAGAGGGGGGUAGAAGUCCAGGUGUAGCGGUGAAAUGCGUAGAGAUCUGGAGGAAUACCGGUGGCGAAGGCGGCCCCCUGGACGAAGACUGACGCUCAGGUGCGAAAGCGUGGGGAGCAAACAGG
rnacentral:rRNA from 1 species